rnacentral:rRNA from 1 species
AGUGAACGCUGGCGGUAGGCCUAACACAUGCAAGUCGAACGGCAGCACAGUUAGAGCUUGCUCUUACGGGUGGCGAGUGGCGGACGGGUGAGGAAUACAUCGGAAUCUACUUUUUCGUGGGGGAUAACGUAGGGAAACUUACGCUAAUACCGCAUACGACCUACGGGUGAAAGCAGGGGAUCUUCGGACCUUGCGCGAUUGAAUGAGCCGAUGUCGGAUUAGCUAGUUGGCGGGGUAAAGGCCCACCAAGGCGACGAUCCGUAGCUGGUCUGAGAGGAUGAUCAGCCACACUGGAACUGAGACACGGUCCAGACUCCUACGGGAGGCAGCAGUGGGGAAUAUUGGACAAUGGGCGCAAGCCUGAUCCAGCCAUACCGCGUGGGUGAAGAAGGCCUUCGGGUUGUAAAGCCCUUUUGUUGGGAAAGAAAAGCAGCAGGUUAAUACCCCGCUGUUCUGACGGUACCCAAAGAAUAAGCACCGGCUAACUUCGUG